rnacentral:rRNA from 1 species
GAUGAACGCUGGCGGCGUGCCUAAUACAUGCAAGUCGAGCGAACAGACGAGGAGCUUGCUCCUUCGACGUUAGCGGCGGACGGGUGAGUAACACGUAGGUAACCUACCUAUAAGACUGGGAUAACUUCGGGAAACCGGAGCUAAUACCGGAUAAUAUUUCGAACCGCAUGGUUCGAUAGUGAAAGAUGGCUUUGCUAUCACUUAUAGAUGGACCUGCGCCGUAUUAGCUAGUUGGUAAGGUAACGGCUUACCAAGGCAACGAUACGUAGCCGACCUGAGAGGGUGAUCGGCCACACUGGAACUGAGACACGGUCCAGACUCCUACGGGAGGCAGCAGUAGGGAAUCUUCCGCAAUGGGCGAAAGCCUGACGGAGCAACGCCGCGCGAGUGAUGAAGGUCUUCGGAUCGUAAAACUCUGUUAUUAGGGAAGAACAAACGUGUAAGUAACUGUGCACGUCUUGACGGUACCUAAUCAGAAAGCCACGGCUAACUACGUG